rnacentral:rRNA from 1 species
AAUUGCGAAAAUUAAUGUGCAUUGCAGUACGUGAAUCAUCGAGUCUUUGAACGCAACUUGCACUCUAGGUUCUCCUAGAGUAUGCCUAUUUGAGUAUCGGUACAACACGCUCAAAUCCCACUCAACGUGCGGGUUUGGAUCCGAUGAGUCGUGUGCCACAUCUCACGUGGCGCUGACUUGAAGUAGUCAUUGAAUCGGGCCUAUGCAUACCACCGCGUGCGCACCCUGGUUCUGACGUGAUAGUCUCAUUCUUGGGAACUCGUCAGCACAGGCGCGCAAUCCACGUGUGUCGGUCAUAGUGUUUCCCAGUCACCCACCCCACAUUCUUGAUAUAAUGAAUCUCGAUCUCAAAUUAGGUAGGACUACCCGCUGAAUUUAAGCAUAUCAAUAAGCGGAGGAAAAGAAACUAACAAGGAUUCCCCUAGUAACUGCGAGUGAAGCGGGAACAGCUCAAAUUUGAAAUCUGGCUUGGCGCCACGCCGAGUCCGAAUUGUAGUUUACAGUCAGUGUAUCGGUGACACCAGCUGGUAUAAUUUGCCUGGAAUGGCAAGUCAUAGAGGGUGAUAAUCCCGUCCAUGAUCAGCCGCGUGCGCGCCACACGUUACACCGACCUAGAGUCGAGUUGUUUGGGAAUGCAGCUCAAAACGGGAGGUAGAUUUCUUCUAAAGCUAAAUAACGGCGAGAGACCGAUAGCGAACAAGUACCGUGAGGGAAAGAUGAAAAGAACUCUGAAGAGAGAGUGAAACAGUACGUGAAAUUGUUAAAAGGGAAACGCUUGAAACCGCUAUGGCGCAUGCUUCGGCACGCCUGCCAACAUCAGUUCGGAUGCACGCGGUACACAAAGCCGUGGGGAAGGUAGGACACGCUUCGGCGCGUCUGUUUAUAGUCCCACGGUCAUGCACUGCGCCGGACUGAGGUCUGCCGCCGCAAGGCGUAGG